GAUGAACGCUGGCGGCGUGCCUAAUACAUGCCAGUCGAGCGAACAGACGAGGAGCUUGCUCCUCUGACGUUAGCGGCGGACGGGUGAGUAACACGUGGAUAACCUACCUAUAAGACUGGGAUAACUUCGGGAAACCGGAGCUAAUACCGGAUAAUAUAUUGAACCGCAUGGUUCAAUAGUGAAAGACGGUUUUGCUGUCACUUAUAGAUGGAUCCGCGCCGCAUUAGCUAGUUGGUAAGGUAACGGAUUACCAAGGCAACGAUGCGUAGCCGACCUGAGAGGGUGAUCGGCCACACUGGAACUGAGACACGGUCCAGACUCCUACGGGAGGCAGCAGUAGGGAAUCUUCCGCAAUGGGCGAAAGCCUGACGGAGCAACGCCGCGUGAGUGAUGAAGGUCUUCGGAUCGUAAAACUCUGUUAUUAGGGAAGAACAAAUGUGUAAGUAACUAUGCACGUCUUGACGGUACCUAAUCAGAAAGCCACGGCUAACUACGUG
rnacentral:rRNA from 1 species